AUACGGAGGAUGCGAGCGUUAUCCGGAUUUAUUGGGUUUAAAGGGAGCGUAGGUGGGAUAUUAAGUCAGCUGUGAAAGUUUGCGGCUCAACCGUAAAAUUGCAGUUGAAACUGGCAGUCUUGAGUACAGUAGAGGUGGGCGGAAUUCGUGGUGUAGCGGUGAAAUGCUUAGAUAUCACGAAGAACUCCGAUUGCGAAGGCAGCUCACUAGACUGUUACUGACACUGAUGCUCGAAAGUGUGGGUAUCAAACAGGAUUAGAUACCCUGGUAGUCCACACAGUAAACGAUGAAUACUCGCUGUUUGCGAUAUACAGUAAGCGGCCAAGCGAAAGCAUUAAGUAUUCCACCUGGGGAGUACGCCGGCAACGGUGAAACUCAAAGGAAUUGGCGGGG
rnacentral:rRNA from 1 species